rnacentral:rRNA from 1 species
GAUAUUGGACAAUGGAGGAAACGCUGAUGCAGCGACGUCGCGUGAGUGCUGAUUGACUUCGGAACGUAAAACUCUUUCCUAAGCGACGAUAAUGACGGUACCUUAGGAGGAAGCCCCGGCUAACUACGAGCCAGCAGCCGCGGUAAUACGUAGGGGGCGAGCGUUGUCCGGAUUUAUUGGGCGUAAAGGGUGCGUAGGCGGCCUUGUAAGUCAGAUGUGAAAGAUCAUGGCUUAACUGUGGUAAGCAUUUGAAACUGCAGGGCUUGAGUACAGGAGAGGAGAGUGGAAUUCCUAGUGUAGCGGUGAAAUGCGUAGAUAGUAGGAGGAAUACCAGUGGCGAAGGCGACUCUCUGGACUGAUACUGACGCUGAGGCACGAAAGCGUGGGGAGCAAACA